CUCAUUAGCCCCACGGGGAGCACCUCCGGGAUGACGGGAUUUCACAGGUCCAGCUGCAAUUAGUUCACUGAAAAGUCUACCGCCUUGCAAGCAGCCAACCGCGGCUAGCUUUAGCUCUUCAUUUCUCCCUUGCAAUUGCAAGCCACUAAUUCAGAGGAGCAACUAUGCCCAAAAGAAAGGCAGCCGUUGAAGGGCAGGUAAAGGAAGAGCCAAAGAGGCGGUCACCUAGAUUAUCUGCUGUAAGUAUUGCCUGUUUUCUCUGGUGAUAACAGCCUGUUUUGUGAGGUGCCAUUUUAAAGAAACCGAACAAAUGAGACGAUCACGUUUAGUG
rnacentral:lncRNA from 1 species